GCCGAUGUGGCUCAGCGGUAGAGCAGCUGAUUCGUAAUCAGCAGGUCACGGGUUCAAAUCCCGUCAUCGGCU
rfam:Scytonema hofmannii PCC 7110 genomic scaffold Scaffold1, whole genome shotgun sequence.